CCCCUGAUGGUGUAGUUGGUUCAUCACGUCUGACUGUAAUUCGCUUGGUUGUAAUCAGAAGGUCACCGGCUCGACUCCGGUUCGGGGGA
rfam:Magnaporthe oryzae 70-15 chromosome 3, whole genome shotgun sequence.